GUGAUUAAAUCGAGCGUAUCUUCAUUGACCGCUCACCCUUCUCACCAUCCACAUACACCUGUGCACUGUUUAGCCUGAGCCGGUUUUCCGGUCCAGGUUAUCAUUUCAUACAAACUCUAGUCUUAUGAAUGUAAACGUUUUAAUAACAUAAUA
rnacentral:misc_RNA from 1 species